rnacentral:misc_RNA from 1 species
AUCAUUACCGAGUUUACACUCCCAAACCCCCAUGUGAACCUGUACCGAACGUUGCCUCGGCGGGAACGCGCGCGUCCCCGGCCCGCCCCCCCCCAGCGGGGGCGCCGGGAGCCAAGGCCGCCCGCCGGGGGAAACCAGAACCCUCUGUAUCUCCAGGAACGUCUGAGUGGAUUUAGUAUCAAAUGAAUCAAAACUUUCAACAACGGAUCUCUUGGCUCUGGCAUCGAUGAAGAACGCAGCGAAAUGCGAUAAGUAAUGUGAAUUGCAGAAUUCAGUGAAUCAUCGAAUCUUUGAACGCACAUUGCGCCCGCCAGUACUCUGGCGGGCAUGCCUGUUCGAGCGUCAUUUCAACCCUCAAGCCCCCCGGGCUUGGUGUUGGGGACCGGCUCCCGGGGGGGGGAAACCCCCCCCCCCCCUGCCGCCCCCCAAAUGGAUCGGCGGCCACGCCGCGGCCUCCCCUGCGCAGUAACACUACUCUCGCAGGCGGGCGGCCCGGCGCGGCCACUGCCGCAAAACGCCCAACUCCUCACGAGUUGACCUCGAAUCAGGUAGGAAUACCCGCUGAACUUAAGCAUAUCAAUAAGCGGAGGAAAAGAAACCAACAGGGAUUGCCCCAGUAACGGCGAGUGAAGCGGCAACAGCUCAAAUUUGAAAUCCGGCCCCCCGGGGCCCGAGUUGUAAUUUGCAGAGGAUGCUUUUGGCGAGGCGCCUUCCGAGUUCCCUGGAACGGGACGCCAUAGAGGGUGAGAGCCCCGUCUGGUCGGACGCCGAGCCUCUGUAAAGCUCCUUCGACGAGUCGAGUAGUUUGGGAAUGCUGCUCUAAAUGGGAGGUAUAUGUCUUCUAAAGCUAAAUACCGGCCAGAGACCGAUAGCGCACAAGUAGAGUGAUCGAAAGAUGAAAAGCACUUUGAAAAGAGGGUUAAACAGUACGUGAAAUUGUUGAAAGGGAAGCGCUUGUGACCAGACUUGGGCCCGGCGGAUCACCCAGCGUUCUCGCUGGUGCACUCCGGCGGGCCCAGGCCAGCAUCAGCUCGUCCCGGGGGACAAAGGCGGGGGGAACGUGGCUCCUCCGGGAGUGUUAUAGCCCACCGCGCAAUGCCCUGGGGCGGGCUGAGGACCGCGCGUUACGCAUGGAUGCUGGCGUAAUGGUCACCAGCGACCCGUCUUGAA